UACGUAGGGGGCAAGCGUUGUCCGGAUUUAUUGGGCGUAAAGAGCGUGUAGGCGGCUUUACAGGUCCGUUGUGAAAACUCGAGGCUCAACCUCGAGACGCCGGUGGAAACCGUAAAGCUAGAGUCCGGAAGAGGAGAGUGGAAUUCCUGGUGUAGCGGUGAAAUGCGCAGAUAUCGGGAGGAACACCAAUGGCGAAGGCAGCUCGCUGGGACGUUACUGACGCUGAGACGCGAAAGCGUGGGGAGCAAACAGG
rnacentral:rRNA from 1 species